rnacentral:ribozyme from 1 species
AUUUUCUUUUCCUUUUACCUUUUCUUUUUUUUUUCAUUUUUUGAGUCUUCGUAAAAAUAAGGGAAGCAUCGUAGCAUUGCAGAGAA